rnacentral:lncRNA from 1 species
UUUGUACUGAGGAGUGGCGCGGUCGCGCUGCUCCUGGUGCAAACCAAGACAUGGCUGCUCCUGCAGAAAGCCAGUGUACACAUGUCUUGCACAUAUACGAAUAAUCAUGCAAAACACAUGCCAGUGCGUGGAUAACUAAGUUUGACCCUACAUUCUAUCUUUAACAUAGGUCAUUAUCCAUCCUCAUUAAAUCAAUACUUUAAAGUGUUCUAUUCACAAUUUUCUUACGUUCGAUUGUUAAACACAUACUAUAUGAUCCAAAGGUCUUAACAACACAUGCUUGCAUGUAGUUCAUGUACACAUAGUUAAUAUAGUCUCUUACUUGCAUUUUUUUUUAAUUCAUGCAUGACUACACCCUACCCCCUCCAACAAUGUAAACUAACAUUUUGGUCACAUUUUAAUGUAUAUAAGAACUUGAUACAUUGGCGCAAAAAGUCAGAACAUGUAUUAUGCGAUGUUUAUCAAAAUUUAGUUUCCAAAUCCUUAUACUUUGAACGUUUAUACUUAAAUCAGCUAACAUGGCUUACUAUAUCCAUAGCACAUCUCAGUACAUGUGUUAAGGUUGUUUAUAGGCAUAUAAUAACCAAAAUAGCAUGCUCAGAAUGAAACAAGAUCACAAAAUUACUACACAUGACUUGCAGCCGGCGCGAUCAUGUACUAAAGAAGUGGUGCGGUCGCGCCACUUCGAGCAGAACAAAGAAAUGAAGGCUCUGCUUCUGCAGAGCUUCAUCACAACCCAUGCCAAAUCUGUAUCCAGACAACUACAAAGCUCCUUGACUUGCAAACAAACUCAUACAACACAAUGACAUGCUAUUCUAUAUCAAUUAACAGAGAAUUCUUGAGAAUUGUAAGAAUUUGUCAAAAUCCAAUUCAAGAACAUAAGUUAGAAUUUAUACCUCGUUAAAGCUUAGUUUGCUUAAUUACUCCUUUCUGAGAUUGCUAGACUCUUCUUUGACAACAACUCACUCAUUCUCAAUUUAUCAGAGGUUCCACAGAAAAAACAAAACAAAAUCAACGAAAACUUUGAGAAUUGGACUACUAUUUAAAGAUCUUUGGACUGGGAAUUAGCUUUGCAUGGAAGGUUGAGACUGGAAAGUAGAAGGAGAAUACACUGGUUUUCAAGGGGUUGUUCAACCACCCAUCAUCAACUAUCUUCCUAGCCAAUGAUCGCAGACUUGGAAGUUACGUAUUUUUGUUUUAGGUCACUCUGUUCAUGUACUUUUGUGACACUUAAUUUGGGACAAAAGCAAAAUCUCAGCAACUUCAUCAAUUAAGGAUUAGUUUGGUUCUUUUAAUUCCCACAAUGUAACUUAAUGUACAAUUGUUACCAUAUUAGGAAUUUAAGGAUUAAUUAAAUACACAUCAUAUAAUCCAUGUACAUUAAAUACACGAAAUAAA